rnacentral:rRNA from 1 species
AGCUCGGGGAAACUCGAAUUAAUACCGCAUACGACCUACGGGUGAAAGGGGGCGCAAGCUCUUGCUAUUAGAUGAGCCUAAAUCAGAUUAGCUAGUUGGUGGGGUAAAGGCCCACCAAGGCGACGAUCUGUAACUGGUCUGAGAGGAUGAUCAGUCACACCGGAACUGAGACACGGUCCGGACUCCUACGGGAGGCAGCAGUGGGGAAUAUUGGACAAUGGGGGCAACCCUGAUCCAGCCAUGCCGCGUGUGUGAAGAAGGCCUUUUGGUUGUAAAGCACUUUAAGCAGGGAGGAGAGGCUAAUGGUUAAUACCCAUUAGAUUAGACGUUACCUGCAGAAUAAGCACCGGCUAACUCUGUGCCAGCAGCCGCGGUAAUACAGAGGGUGCGAGCGUUAAUCGGAAUUACUGGGCGUAAAGCGAGUGUAGGUGGCUCAUUAAGUCACAUGUGAAAUCCCCGGGCUUAACCUGGGAACUGCAUGUGAUACUGGUGGUGCUAGGAUAUGUGAGAGGGAAGUAGAAUUCCAGGUGUAGCGGUGAAAUGCGUAGAGAUCUGGAGGAAUACCGAUGGCGAAGGCAGCUUCCUGGCAUAAUAUUGACACUGAGAUUCGAAAGCGUGGGUAGCAAACAGGAUUAGAUACCCUGGUAGUCCACGCCGUAAACGAUGUCUACUA